GACGAACGCUGGCGGCGUGCCUAAUACAUGCAAGUCGAGCGGAAUGAUGAAGAAGCUUGCUUCUUCUGAUUUUAGCGGCGGACGGGUGAGUAACACGUGGGCAACCUACCUGUAGAUUGGGAUAACUCCGGGAAACCGGGGCUAAUACCGAAUAAUCCAUUUUGCUUCAUGGCGAGAUGUUGAAAGACGGUUUCGGCUGUCACUACAAGAUGGGCCCGCGGCGCAUUAGCUAGUUGGUAGGGUAAUGGCCUACCAAGGCGACGAUGCGUAGCCGACCUGAGAGGGUGAUCGGCCACACUGGGACUGAGACACGGCCCAGACUCCUACGGGAGGCAGCAGUAGGGAAUCUUCCACAAUGGACGAAAGUCUGAUGGAGCAACGCCGCGUGAGUGAAGAAGGUUUUCGGAUCGUAAAACUCUGUUGUAAGGGAAGAACACGUACGAGAGUAACUGCUCGUACCUUGACGGUACCUUAUUAGAAAGCCACGGCUAACUACGUG
rnacentral:rRNA from 1 species